AGAACGAACGCUGGCGGCAUGCCUAAUACAUGCAAGUCGAACGAACACUUCGGUGUUAGUGGCGCACGGGUGCGUAACGCGUGGGAAUCUGCCCUUGGGUUCGGAAUAACAGUUGGAAACGACUGCUAAUACCGGAUGAUAUCGAAAGAUCAAAGAUUUAUCGCCCAGGGAUGAGCCCGCGUAGGAUUAGCUAGUUGGUGAGGUAAAGGCUCACCAAGGCGACGAUCCUUAGCUGGUCUGAGAGGAUGAUCAGCCACACUGGGACUGAGACCACGGCCCAGACCUCCGUACGGG
rnacentral:rRNA from 1 species